rnacentral:rRNA from 1 species
GCGGUACCGAAAGCCCGGGCCUAGGAGGAUUGCGGCGAUAGGUCGUGUUGAAGAAGGCCCAACAAGCCCGUAAUCGGUACGGGUUGUGGGAGCAAGAGCCCGGAGAUGGACUCUGAGACACGAGUCCAGGCCCUACGGGGCGCAGCAGGCGCGAAAACUUUACAAUGCGGGAAACCGUGAUAAGGGAACCCCGAGUGCCCGUACACGCGGGCUGUUAAGGUGUUUAAAACGCAUCUCGAGAAAGGGCCGGGCAAGACCGGUGCCAGCCGCCGCGGUAAUACCGGCGGCUCGAGUGGUGACCACUAUUAUUGGGCUUAAAGCGUCCGUAGCUGGACUGUUAAGUCCCUUGGGAAAUCCGCCGGCUUAACCGGUGGGCGUCUAAGGGAUACUGGCGGUCUAGGGACCGGAAGAGGUGAGAGGUACUCCAGGGGUAGGAGUGAAAUCCUGUAAUCCUUGGGGGACCACCUGUGGCGAAGGCGUCUCACUAGAACGGCUCCGACAGUGAGGGACGAAAGCUGGGGGAGCAAACCGGAUUAGAUACCCGGGUAGUCCCAGCUGUAAACGAUGCGCGUUAGGGUGGUAUCGGUGACCACGAGUCACCGAGGUGCCGAAAG